rnacentral:rRNA from 1 species
GACGAACGCUGGCGGCGUGCCUAAUACAUGCAAGUCGAACGCAGUUGCGAACGGGUGAGUAACGCGUAGGUAACUGCCCUAUAGCGGGGGAUAAACAUUGGAAACGAUAGCUAAUACCGCAUACUGUGUGAUGGACCUGCGUUUUAUUUGCUUGUUGGUGAGGUAAAGGCUCACCAAGGCGACGAUACAUAGCCGGCCUGGGAGGGGGGACGGCCACACCUGGGCUGAGGCACGGCCCAGAACCCUACGGGAGGCAACAGUAGGGAAUCUUCGGCAAUUGGCCGAAGUCUGACCAAGCAACGCCGCGUGAGGGAAGGAGGGUUUCGGGUCGUUAAGCUCUGUUGUUAGGGAAGCGGUAUCUAACCAGAAAGGGACGGCUAACUACGUGCCAGCAGCCGCGGUAAUUC